CUCCGGGAAGACAUCUCCCAAGACCAUUAUUGUCCAGCUCUACACCUCUUAUGAUAGAAUCCCCAAACAACAACUGCUUUUUAUUAGGCCUCACCAUAGUCUCCAAGCCUGUCUCCAUAAUACCACUACACUUGGUGCCUGGGAAUGUCUCCACAACACCACUACACCCAGUGCCUGAGCCUGUCUCCACAACAGCACUACCCUCAUUGAAUGGCUCUUUGAAAUUAAAUAUGCAAGUCUUGCUGGCCUAUUGACAUAUCUGUCACUCCUUGCAUGGCAAUAUACUAAU